rnacentral:rRNA from 1 species
UGGGGAAUAUUGCACAAUGGGCGAAAGCCUGAUGCAGCGACGCCGCGUGAGGGAUGACGGCCUUCGGGUUGUAAACCUCUUUCAGCAGGGAAGAAGCGAAAGUGACGGUACCUGCAGAAGAAGCGCCGGCUAACUACGUGCCAGCAGCCGCGGUAAUACGUAGGGCGCAAGCGUUGUCCGGAAUUAUUGGGCGUAAAGAGCUCGUAGGCGGUUAGUCGCGUCUGCUGUGAAAACUCGAGGCUCAACCUCGGGCUUGCAGUGGGUACGGGCUGACUAGAGUGCGGUAGGGGUGACUGGAAUUCCUGGUGUAGCGGUGGAAUGCGCAGAUAUCAGGAGGAACACCGAUGGCGAAGGCAGGUCACUGGGCCGCAACUGACGCUGAGGAGCGAAAGCAUGGGGAGCGAACAGGAUUAGAUACCCUGGUAGUCCAUGCCGUAAACGUUGGGCACUAGGUGUGGGUCCAUUCCACGGAUUCCGUGCCGCAGCAAACGCAUUAAGUGCCCCGCCUGGGGAGUACGGCCGCAAGGCUAAAACUUAAAUGAAUUGACGGGGUUAUAGCUGUUUCCU